CGCAAAUUUGUACACGAAUUGUUGAAGUUACAUGGAACUUUAAUUAGAACUCAUAAUCAUCAAAGAAGUAUAUCCGAGCAUAUUUUGCGUCCACGAUUGCUUGAUUUUUGGUUCCAAGUUCAAAUCAAUGCUCGAUCGUGAUGUCCUUCACGGAGAGAGAGAGAGACAGACAGACAGAGAGAAAACGAAGGGACGAAUCCAUGGUUGAAUUCCAAUCCAUGAACUCCUUUUUGUAAGUUGAUUACGAGGUUUUUUGUUCUUCUAUACCUUCCUCAUGUCGGUUCCUGAGGAGACGAAGGCUUGAUAGUUCAUGUUCCUUUCUGUUCGGUACCUCCGCUUGUGUGAUUUACAUUUUAUCGAUGAUCAUGAUUGAAUGCUUGCGGCACUUUGAUUUGAAACUGUACGGCACUACGAUUGAAUUGGCAUUAGAUUCAACAUGCCAUUGUUACGAUGCAUCUGGCUGAAGUUUUUGUUUUCUAGAUUAUGGAAUGGAGGAUGUGCUUCGUGAAGAACUUGUUGAGCUUUAGCUGUUUUUACUUUUGCCUAUGGUUGAUGUCUUUCAUUUUUUGCAAUCUUGCCAAAUUUCUUCUGCAAUCUGUCGUGUGUGUCUCUCCUCCCUCAUAACCUUCGUCUUACUUCCUGAAAUAUCUGGUUGUCUUUUAUCUUCAAGAGCCCUGGCUUUGUGGAAAACCCUAAUUCCUGAAUUUCUCCAUGUUCUGCUUCUUGAAAUCUUACUUAUUAAUAAUGACCUAUCACUAAAAAGUCUUCCUCCCUAAACAACUAUAAAUAAACAUCAAGAUUCUAUCCAACCGAGACAUGUAGAUAUUUUCUUGAACAUGGAGCCAGGUGAACCUAUCAACAAAAUACAGGAAGAUUCAGAAAUUCCAUAUCAUAAAUUUUCAAUAGAGGAACAGAACAUUUAGAUCCAAAAGAAAAAACUUUACUCCAAAAUCGCUCUUUCGUAAUUGAACAAUAAAAAAUUGCCUGAUUUUUUGAGAAACCGUCGGUGCUGACUGUUUCUUGAGGUGUGGCUGGACAGAGUAGCUUAACAAUCUAAUGUUUCUUUUGAGCUGAAAAAUUCUCUGCUCAGAAUAUAGUUUUAUCAUGUUUUAAGUAGGAACCAUUCCUUCUAUUUUGAAAAUUCUAGCAAGCUUUCCUACAAGACCUGUGGCAGUUUAUGUAAGAUGUGACUCCAUGGUCUUUCUGGAAAUCUUAUGAAUCAACUCGAACCCUAUAAACCAAAAUGCUUGCUUCAUUGAAUCCAUGUUAAGGGUCUCUUGUCUUGGCAACUUGAGAGGAACAUUUUGUAUAUAUCUGUAUCUGUUAACUGUGGGUUUCUAAUUCAAAGCCCCCAAAUAAUAGGUACUUGAUGAUCCAAAUUUCUUGGCAUAUGCACUUAGUACAAAAUCUCUUGUAUAUAUCAGUUGAUGCAUUUUUACGAAUUCAUAGUAGGAAACUUGUGAAGUCAUGAACUAAUUUGUAUGUAUUUGUAGAAUCAAAUUGCCAUUUCCAUUUAAAUACACACACACAUGUAGUUCACGCUGUUAAUAGUACCCUACAUUGACUGGAACUAGAAGCCUAGAAGAAAAAAAUUUGGCCUCCACAUACUAUUAUUCUCAACUUAUGGUACAUAAUCUUAUGUGACUAUGUCCCAAUCUCUUCUUAUGCACUCUCAUCCAAGUCUAUCCACAAUAAACCCUAAUUGUUUUCUUGUAUGGUCCUUACCUAAGUAGUAAAGUUUAUAUCUUGAAUCAGGAAAUAUUUCUGACUUGUUUUUUUUCCCCACCACACCCCCCCACAAAAAAAAAAAAAAAAAAUCAAAGAAGGAGGAGGAAACAAGUUUAUGCUAACAUCUAUAACAUUUGCCCUUGUCUAUACCUAUUACAAACUCCUUAACCCUAUUAAGAAAACAUGAUUGAUAAGAUUGCAAGUAAGAAUGAAAUGAACAUGAAAGCUCUUGGUGUUCUGUUGUACCAUAUUACAAACUUUUAUCUUGGCAAUGGAUGGUAUGCUGAAUUUUGUUGUCAUGCUAUUCGUACAUUGUUGUUUUGUCUUCCUCAUUCUUGAGUUGCAGAUAAAAGUAUAUUCCUUAUGCAUGCUAUCCUUUUUCUUAAAGUUACUUAUAUCCUCAAUUUUAGGCAGUUUUGUUCCUACAAUCCAUUAGAGUGAGUGCUGGACUUGUUAAAAGAAUCAAUUUUGUGUAUUUCUAUGCUUUUAUCCAUCAUCAAGUUGUAGAAAAUGUUCUUCUAGUGUUUCUUCAGAUAUAUUAUAUAUAUAAAUAUAUAUAUAUUUUUUUUUCCUGUUCGAGGAUUGUCUAUAUGGGCCAGCUGCUGCAAUGAAUUUCAGUUUCUUAACUAGCAAUUAUGUUGCAUCCUGAAUCGUCAUUUCCUAGAGAGCUUCUGUAACAUUCUUAUGAUAAAUCUUCCAUCUAUUCUUUUCAGAUAAUCUAAAAUGAAUUAGUCAUGGAUAGGGUUGGUUUUUGAAAUUUAGAUAAUAUAGUUCAUGACUGCAUGUGUUGUUUCAGUGACGACUCUUUGUCAUGGAGUUCUUUUUGAAGGUUGAUGUAUUAAGUGUUACUCUCUGCUAUCCAUAGCCUGCAGUCACUUGCCAAUAUAUGUUUUCCUUUUUCUCAUUUAACCUGAAGAAGUCUGUAUAAAACCUACAGUCGAACUGCAUUUUCACAUCCUCUUAUAAAAUGAACUGUACAGGGAAUAAAACGUACAUCUCUGCAAUAUUGCAUGUCUUGUAGCUUAUUAACUUAUGGAUAUUGCAUAUUAGGUGAAGAUGAACCUGUGGAUUUGUAUUUUAUCCUUGACAUUUAUCCUCAGACAUGGGCUCCUGUUUAAAUCCCUCCAAUGACUGGAGGAAAAGGUGGAAAGGGGAUCCUUGACUUUGUGUCAUGGUGAAGAUGUAGGUCACAACAUGUUUGUACCAGGUUACUAAGGGCCUCACAAAGAAGUCUGGGCAUUUCUGUGUGCUCGUCAUUCCCAUUGCUGAGAACUCCUUCACAGGCAUGGCUUUUGGGUUAGCUACAACAGGGCUACAGCUGAUUGUUUAGGCCAUUUACUUGGUAUUUCUCUAUUGGCUUUCAACCAAAUUUCUGACAACUGUUACAUUUAACACUAGACCAGAGGUGGCAGUUAAAGAUUCCGGUUGUCAUCUGUGGUACUGGUAAUGUUCAGAGACAUGUUGGAGCUGAGCACAUGCAGUGGCAUGAGUCCUAUUAUCCGUCCAUGGAUGGGAUCCAGAUGGUUACCUGCUCAAUGCCAUGCAAUGCAAGAGCCUUAUGGAAGCUGCCAUCUAUGUUGUUCUUUUUGAGCAUGUAUUCUACAACCUGGAGGAGAGUUUUCCUGGAGAAGACUGUGCAACAUCAUUGGGAGAGGCAAGAUACAAGCGCCGAGGAACAUGUCAUAGUCCUUAACCUAUUCCUGGAUGAGCAACCGUGUGAUGCAAGCUGCCAAGAUACUGGAAAAUGACGGAUAGCAUUCUUAUUGUGGAGGAAUACGUGGGAACAGGUGGUGUGGGUGCCAGCCUGAUUGCAGCACCAAAUGAAAAUUUCAUGAUUAUUUGUAUUCUCCAGUUGUUUGCUUUCCUUACUAGAUGUGCCGACAACUUAAGCUGGGGCAUUGGAGGAAUGAACUGUGAUCCUGCCUACCCAGAUUGUGCUUGCAGAUGAACAGCUCUUCUGGUAAGAGCAGGCAGGUGUCCUAGUGGAAUUAAACUGGAUAGAGGCUGGUUCUUUACUAGCUAGAUCAUGGAGAUAAGAAGCCUUCGUGAAGUAGACAUGAAUACAAAAAUGAAUGCUAGAUGGCAAGCAUUCAUUUUAGAUGAGUGCCCCUCUUUUUCUCUCUUUUAACAUGGGUUUGAAAAUCUUUAGAACAUGCUUAGUUAUCUUGAACAGUUGGCAUUCAAAUCUCCUCAUGUGGGUUGCAGAUGAUCUAACUUGUCCUCAUCGGGCAAGGCUGGUGGCUGAUAUUCUUAUGUGAUAUCUGCCAUGUUAGUUUCCAAAAUGCAACUUUUUGGUGUGGAGGAGGAGGUUGGUUUCUCUUCCCUUAACCAUAGCGUGAUUACUUUUUGUGGCUUAAGUUUCUUUUGGCAUGCUAACCAAAUUAUACCAAUCCCUUGCACUAUUGCCGUUAUUAUUUAUUUCUCUCUCUUACUUCAUGCUUCCCAUGCUAUAACAUAUUUAUAUAUGGUGUCUGAGAUGCCAUGUUGAAGUUUUUCUUUACCCACUUAGCCUCAUCAUGGCCAGAUAGAAACAUGUAGAUGCUUCUGUUUAACUGGAAGAAUUACAUGGAUGGCACACAGGUCAAACUACUCUUUGCUUGAAACUUUUCAGUUCUGUUACUUUAGCUACAAGGCAGAUGAUGUAAAGGAUUCUUUUUUCUUAUUUCGAGUUGUAAAUUUGGCAGUCGUGGGUGAGACACACAAUGAUGUCAGUUAUAUGGCAGAAGUGGAUCAAUAUUGUUAACAUGGAUGUGAACGAAUCAAUAGGAAGAUGACACACAACACUUCAUCUGAAAGAACCUUCUGCAUUUCUGAGUAAAUCCAAUGGGGGAAGUGACAGACAAUUUUAAAAGAUCUAGCUACAUGAUGAAAAGUUAUUAAACUCAGGCAGACGCAGCACAACCACAAGAAAUUAGUAAGUUAGAAAGAUUACAUAAAAUACGAGUAGAGUUUACUAGAAGUACGAAAAGGUAUGUUUCUCUUGGGGCUCUGACAGCAUAACUGACCUGGAGGCAUUUUCACCAAGUGCAUGCACUGUCUGUGCUUUGUUUAUUAUUUACUGAUUGCAGACUGUAACCGCUUUGUAAAUUGAAUUUUUCUAUAGCUGGAGUGCAUGUCAAGAAUAUCACUUGACUUGUCAUGCUCCAUGGGUUUUAGAUGCCAUGUAAUGCUGUGCUUUGCUUAUCUUUCUCUCUGUUAUCUAUUAUUUUGGCUCUUGCAGACGCAGGAGACACUCGUCAAUUGUGUGGCCUGACCCAAGUGCACGCAAAAAAGUCCUGACAUUUCGGCGUUUUGUUGAGAUCAGUGGACACCUGCCAAUCACAUGGCCACAAGCAUACCAUUGGAGGUUAGAGUGAUAAUCACGAACCACAUUCAAUUCCAAUGUUGUGUCAUUUUCCUCAGCCGUUCUACCAUGUUAGUGCACUUCUACAGCAUCCUCCGUUGAAGUAACUCUAAUUUCCUUCACAUGGUUUACAUUUUUUCACGUGGGCUGCGUGUGAAAUUCAUUUUUGCAAUGAACUUGGACAUGGGGUGAGACUUGAGAAAAGUUCUAGCGAAUCCUCCAUUUAUGAAUCUCUUAUUUCCCGCAAUAAUUCAAAUCUUACACGUGGAUUACGCAUGAAAUUCAAUCUCCUUACAUUUCUCUGCACUUCCCUGGAGAUCUAGUAAGUUUUCCAUCAAUGCAGCUCUGAUUUCCACAAUAACCGCAAGGGUUUACUCAUCAAAUAUUUCUCUCUUUCUAGGGCAAUGAUUGAGCUUUACCAGUUUAAAACUAUCCUUUUGUUCAGCAUAGAAUUUGGACAAAAGCUUUAAUCAACGGACACAUAUUUGCCUGCCCAGGUUAAAAAUACGAGGAAAAAGAAUAUACUCUUGCCAAUUUGAAUAUAAAAUUUAAACAUCAUUAUCAUGCAAACCUAAUCUAUAACCUCUUUGGGCAUUUAAUGCCAUAAUACUGACUAUUUUUAGCAAUGUUGGCUUCUUUAUCAUCAAUAGAUGUGUACUAUUAAACAAUUCCUCCAUUAAUGCAAGGGAUGUCACAUUCACAUACACCACAGAGUGCUUAGCAUUUCUUUUUGGUAUUCUAUGUUUUUUGUGUCUCCCAAAUGCUAGAACAUGUUGCCUUCUUUUAUAUUGGAAGCCCUUUGCAUUCAUUUUUAACCCAAUAAUUGUCAUCAUUUAUGAUGCUUGAUCCUCAAAAGAACCAAAAAAAAAACUGUUGCCAAUAUUAAUUAUUAGGAUCUUAUUUCAGAGCAGAGUACGACGGUAGUCCAGGACUGAUAUAUAUAUAUAUAUAUAUAUAUUUUGUUGUAAAUAUGAGUUAUUAUGAUAGAUUUCUAUUUUUGGAUAAAUGAAAAGAAUAACCCCAUCCUUAAUGUUACUAGUUGGCAUUGUUAUUGCUGUUUCUAUGCUCUAGUCUAAGUCACACCUGAAAAAUGCAUAAUGGUGAAUAGUUAUUUUUUGGAAAUGGAAACCAUUGUAAUGCUUGUGGUUGAGAUUACCUCAGUUUCUGGCAAUUUCUAUUUGAUUUGUCAUUCCUCACUAUCCGUAGCUAACAGUUAUCAUUAAUUUUUGAUUUGUUAGCUACUCUGAAUAUAUAUAUAUAUAUAUAAUAUAAAAGGUAUUGGCAUGUGGCAGCCAUAUGUAGGCUGAUUUUGCAUUGUGAUUUGUGGAUAUAAUAUAAAUAAAGUAUGACUUGUAUUCCUCAAAGACUUCACACUUUUCAGAAUAAAUAAGAACCCACCUAGGACUAGGAUAGUGGGAGCAUCCCAUUUCUAAAAACAUAUGAAUUUUUUUCCUUUUUAAAUAUGAUAGUAGGAAUGCCACUGUCCAAUGUUGUUUAUCUUAUUAGUUGCUAUAACAAUGAUAAGAUAGUAGUCUUUUUGUAAUUAUGAUCCAAUUUAGUAAGUCUUUUAAUGCAUUUAUGAUUAAAAAAAUAAAAUAAGAUUAUAUGUAAUAAAUUUAGAGUGAUUUUCUAAAGAUAAAAUAUAAGAGUUAAAAUUAAGAUGAAUUGAACAAGUAAAAAGUGGACACUUUUGAUGUGAGCCGGUUUAAUGGUGAAAGUUUACAAAGAAAAGAGAAAAACUUUGAAUGAAAAUUUUAAACAGGACAUAAAAUACAAUAAUCUUAUUAAACAUGCACUAAUAAAUAGAGAUGAUUGGAGAUUUAGAGUUUAUAUAAUUGGCUUUGAUGAAAUUAAGACUUGUAAUUAUUAUUAUAAAUUAUGGCUAAAAUAUUUUGAAUUUCCUCACAGUUUAAAACUUGGGACGAUUAACCCUCUUGUAAUUUUAUUUUUGACAAAUGACCUUUUUGUACAUCAUUUUUCAGUUAAAAAUUAGAUUUAUAUGCUAAAAAAAGAAAAUGACCAUAAUGCCCCAAUUAACCUUGAACAAUUACACGCCAAACUUACCUGUAAUGGAAAAAAAAAUGGCGUUAAUUGAUUAUUUCAGAGGGAGAAAUGGAGAAAAAAAAGUGUUGAAAAUGUAACCACUAACAUAAUCAGUCUCUAAAUCAAACAAAAUCUAAUUUAUUUAAAAAAAAAAUGCAAAAGCUAAUUAGUCCAACUUAACCCAAAUCUAAUUUAUCUUUGAAUCUUGGAAGCAAGAUAAUUCUCAAAUAAUCAAAUUUUUGAUUGAGUUUUCUUUUUUUUUUUCUUUACUAAAUACAGUUUUUAAUUGAAUUUUUAAAAACAUAAUUCUUUGAAUUUUUUUCACUAAAUAAAAUUUUUGAUUGAGUUUUCAAACAUUAUAUUUUUGUUUAUAAUUUCAAAAUUUAGAAAUUAGUUUGCUUUUUGGGAUUUAAAGAGAAAUUGGUUGGUUAUGUGAUUUAAAGAUGAAUUGGAUUUGGCAUAGGGUAUGAUUGAUUGGCUUUUACAUUUUCUUAAUGAUAAAUUGAGAUUUUAUUUGAAUUUAGAUACUAAAUAAUUUGGAUAAGUGGUUAUAUUUUCUCACUUUUAUUUUUUAUUUUUUCCUCAAAUUAUUAAUUGACGCCAUUUUCCUUCACUUAAAGAUAAGUUUGGUAUUUUUAUUUUUAAUUAAUUUGUAAUAAUAAAAUUGUAUGUAAUUAUUUAAGAUUAAUUGCAAUAUUAUGAUUAUUUUCUUUUUUCAACAUUAAAUAUAAGGAAAAUAUUUAAGGUUAAUAGAUUUUUGCCUAAAAUUAGGUAUCAUCCACAAUAAAUGGUGACAAUUGAGAUUCCAAUUUUAGGGUUUGUAGGAUCCAUUGCAUUGACCUAUCCUUACAGUCCAAAAGCAGUGUGGACUGUGGAAAUUCCAACGUCCGAAGUGGUGGAAUUGUAGUACAUUUGGUCGGUGGACUUAUUCUUGUUCCUGCCACGUGUUGUCUGGCAAAUUAUGUGAUUGGCUAGGCGGCUAAUAAAGGUGAAAAAAACCCAAAAUGA